GACGAACGCUGGCGGCGUGCUUAACACAUGCAAGUCGAACGGAAAGGCCCUGCUUUUGUGGGGUGCUCGAGUGGCGAACGGGUGAGUAACACGUGAGUAACCUGCCCUUGACUUUGGGAUAACUUCACGAAACUGGGGCUAAUACCGGAUAGGAGCUCCUGCUGCAUGGUGGUGGUUGGAAAGUUUCGGCGGUUGGGGAUGGACUCGCGGCUUAUCCGCUUGUUGGUGGGGUAGUGGCUUACCAAGGCUUUGACGGGUAGCCGGCCUGAGAGGGUGACCGGCCACAUUGGGACUGAGAUACGGCCCAGACGCCUACGGGAGGCAGCAGUGGGGAAUAUUGCACAAUGGGCGGAAGCCUGAUGCAGCAACGCCGCGUGCGGGAUGACGGCCUUCGGGUUGUAAACCGCUUUCGCCUGUGACGAAGAGUGAGUGACGGUAAUGGGUAAAGAAGCACCGGCUAACUACGUG
rnacentral:rRNA from 1 species